ensembl:miRNA
UGUGACCCUAGAAUAAUUACCCAACGUCUCUGAGUCUCGGUUUUGAGAGGAUGAGUAAUUAUUCUAGGGUCACACA